GUUUGAUCAUGGCUCAGGAUGAACGCUGGCGGAGUGCCUAAUACAUGCAAGUCGAGCGGCAGCACGAGUAGUUUACUACUUGGUGGCGAGCGGCGGACGGCUGAGUAACGCGUGGGAACGUGCCCCAAAGUGAGGAAUAACUGCCCGAAAGGGUAGCUAAUGCCGCAUAUGAUCUUCGGAUUAAGGUAUUUAUACGCUUUGGGAGCGGCCCGCGUCCGAUUAGAUAGUUGGUGAGGUAAAGGCUCACCAAGUCUACGAUCGGUAACUGGUCUGAGAGGAUGAUCAGUCAGACUGGAACUGAGACACGGUCCAGACUCCUACGGGAGGCAGCAGUAAGGAAUCUUCCACAAUGGACGAAAGUCUGAUGGAGCAACUCCGCGUGCAGGAUGAAGGCCUUCGGGUCGUAAACUGCUUUUAUGAGUGAAGAAUAUGACGGUAACUCAUGAAUAAGGGUCGGCUAACUACGUGCCAGCAGCCGCGGUCAUACGUAGGACCCAAGCGUUAUCCGGAGUGACUGGGCGUAAAGAGUUGCGUA
rnacentral:rRNA from 1 species